GUUCAGCUGACGAGUCCCAAAUGAGACGAAACAUGCGUCCUGGAU
rnacentral:hammerhead_ribozyme from 1 species